rnacentral:rRNA from 1 species
GACAGAGGGUGCAAACGUUGCUCGGAAUUACUGGGCGUAAAGCGCGUGUAGGUGGUGUGGCAAGUCGGACGUGAAAGCCCGGGGCUCAACCCCGGAAGUGCAUUCGAUACUACCACGCUGGAGUACUGAAGAGGAGAGCGGAAUUCCCGGUGUAGAGGUGAAAUUCGUAGAUAUCGGGAGGAACACCAGUGGCGAAGGCGGCUCUCUGGGCAGAUACUGACACUGAGACGCGAAAGCGUGGGGAGCAAACAGG